UACGUAGGGUGCAAGCGUUGUCCGGAAUUAUUGGGCGUAAAGAGCUCGUAGGCGGUCUGUCGCGUCGUCUGUGAAAACCCGGGGCUCAACCCCGGGCCUGCAGUCGAUACGGGCAGACUAGAGUGCGGUAGGGGAGACUGGAAUUCCUGGUGUAGCGGUGAAAUGCGCAGAUAUCAGGAGGAACACCGGUGGCGAAGGCGGGUCUCUGGGCCGUAACUGACGCUGAGGAGCGAAAGCGUGGGGAGCGAACAGG
rnacentral:rRNA from 1 species